rnacentral:misc_RNA from 1 species
AACGCACCUUGCGCUCCUUGGUAUUCCGAGGAGCAUGCCUGUUUGAGUGUCGUGAAAUUCUCAACCUUUUCAAGCUUUUUUGAAAGAGUUGGAUUUGGGAGUUUGCUGGUUCUAGUUAAUCAGCUCUCCUUAAAUGUAUUAGCAAGAUAUAAUGACUGUGGAUCAUCUUUAAUAUGAUAAUUAUCUAUAUCAUUGAUGACUCAGUGUCUUGUCCCUUCUAGGGAAAAAAUAUCUGGCUUCUAACAGUCACAGGGACAAUUCUUUGAAAUAUUUGACCUCAAAUCAGGUAGGACUACCCGCUGAACUUAA